rnacentral:rRNA from 1 species
AGUGAACGCUGGCGGUAGGCCCAACACAUGCAAGUCGAACGGCAGCACAGUAAGAGCUUGCUCUUACGGGUGGCGAGUGGCGGACGGGUGAGGAAUACAUCGGAAUCUACUUUUUCGUGGGGGAUAACGUAGGGAAACUUACGCUAAUACCGCAUACGACCUACGGGUGAAAGCAGGGGAUCUUCGGACCUUGCGCGAUUGAAUGAGCCGAUGUCGGAUUAGCUAGUUGGCGGCGUAAAGGCCCACCAAGGCGACGAUCCGUAGCUGGUCUGAGAGGAUGAUCAGCCACACUGGAACUGAGACACGGUCCAGACUCCUACGGGAGGCAGCAGUGGGGAAUAUUGGACAAUGGGCGCAAGCCUGAUCCAGCCAUACCGCGUGGGUGAAGAAGGCCUUCGGGUUGUAAAGCCCUUUUGUUGGGAAAGAAAAGCAGCAGGUUAAUACCCCGCUGUUCUGACGGUACCCAAAGAAUAAGCACCGGCUAACUUCGUG